UACGUAGGGGCUAGCGUUGUCCGGAUUUAUUGGGCGUAAAGAGCUCGUAGGCGGUUCGGUAAGUCAGGUGUGAAAUCUCCACGCUCAACGUGGAGGCGCCACCUGAAACUGCCGUGACUCGAGUCCGGUAGGGGAGUGUGGAAGUUCCUGGUGUAGCGGUGAAAUGCGUAGAUAUCAGUCGGAACACCGUGGCGAAGGCGGCUUCUUGGGCCGUUCCUGACGCUGAGGCGCGAAAGCUGGGGGAGCGAACGGGG
rnacentral:rRNA from 1 species